rnacentral:lncRNA from 1 species
UUUAAGUCAAAUUAAAUAAAUAUCUUACAUCUGUAAUUUGUGUUAUGUAAACGCUCCAAAUUUUUUACUGCUUGUGUUGCUAAUGGACUGAUGUAGGGCUGCUUUGUUUUGUAAAACUUGAUUUUCUUUGUAAUGGGAAUUUCAUCCAUAGGUCAAUAUUAUACUAUUAAUGGGGAUUUCAACGAAUGUUUCAGAAGACCUGGCAUUUCCUCUUGUACAUAAGUACCUAAAAGGUUCUCUUGGGGGGGAAGUUGUUUAAAAACUGUUCCCCACACACAUUCAAGGUAAGCACAGAGUGUACACCUGCAGUGUAAGGUAGUUUUGAGGAUAUGAAGAUGUACUUCUUACCAAAUGGCUGGAGCUGAGCAGGAGGAGGUACAACCCACCUGGGGACAGGGUUAGUCACUUGUUUAUGCAGACAGCUGCUCCCUUACUAGAACAGAGCUGUUCAUUAGCUCCCAGUGGGCUCCACUUGCUCUGUUUUGGAUUCAGGCACUGACUUGCAUUAAGAUGCUCCUGGUGUAGUAUUCCUCACCGUUGACUUUACAACUUGCACAAUUUAUUUGUGAUGAUUAUGAUUCUUACAAGGAUAAAAAUAAGACGUAGGUGAUAAUAGAAAUCUCAAACCUUUCUUACACAAGCAAUCUUCUCACUAUAAGAUUCACUCUUUUCCUUUCAGAUAAAUUACUAGGGGUUUUCAAGGUUUUUCUGCAACCUAGGGUCAGAGAGGUGUUUGGGAAAUAGUAAUUCCUUGCAAGUUCCCCUCUUCCUUUUGUUAUGAUUCUAGUACGGCUGCAAACGGUAAAGAGAAAAAGAGAAUUUUUUUCUUAUUGCUAACAUUAUUUUUGUUGUGGUAUUUUUCAUCAAUGUUUGUCAAAAUGUUUUAAAUGAAGCCAUUACUCCCAGUUUAGAGAUGGGGAAACCGAGGCACAGGUUAUGUACUUGCAAACAGCCUCGUAGGAUGCCAGUGGCAGAAAAUGAGUACUCUCAGUAGCACAAGUUGCUGGCAUUUCAUUUCAGUGCUCUGUCUGUUAAAACCCUCUUUAGUCUUUGCAGUUCACCUCUCAUUAAGAGGUUCACCUCUCAUCCAGCUACUGCUGUGCCUCCAUUUCCUCUUAUCAAAAAGCUGGAAGCUGUUGGAAACAAAGUGAAAGAACUCACUUUUCACUCUGCCCCUGCUGCUGGCAGGAAUGUGGCUGUGAAGUAUGUGUGCUUAAUGCCUGUGGACUCUGCCCUAGGGAUGGAGUUAAUGAAAAAGUCCUCUAAGGGAGCUGGCUCCACUUUUUGGCAGCUGCUGGUAAGGCAGGACCCUUGGGACGUGCUGCAGGAGCCUGGGCCAGCAGCAGCAGCUCUGGGUGGCAGAUGUUAGGAAGCACCUGCUGCUAAGACUUCGCUGGCCUCUGGGCCCUGCAGCAGUGAUGAGGCAGUUCAAGGAGCCAUGGAAAGGUGUCUGUAGGAUAUGGGGACAGACUCAGAGAAGCAGGAGGCUGGGAGAAGGUGUGGUGUAGGAUCAGCAGCGGAAAAUUGAAAGAAAUGUCAACAGUUACUUCAAUUGGGCCUUGUAUAGCUAAAGGGAUUAAAGACAGGACAUAAUAGCUUUAAUCUUUGGCUAUUUGCUAGGUUUGAGAUAGGUCAUGGUUUGAAGAGAUUGCUGUGCUUGCUCUCAUUUGAUCUACACACAUUUGUGCUAUGGUUUGCACCCAGACCUCUGCAGGCAGCUGUGUCACAGAACAUGCCUUGUGGAGAUCAGGGUCUGUUCUCUGUCCUCUAGACCUCUACUAAGGUAGUGCAGUUGAAAACAUUUGGAGGGGGAAAACCUCCUCCUUGUGCUGUUUUCCCUGGGGUCUCUCCAAUUCAGGGGGUGUUUUAGGAAAAAAAAUUGUCUGUGAUUCAGGAUGGGUUUGUAGACUUGGUAUGGUGAAUGCAGUCACUACCCCUGGGGCAUAUUCUUCUGUGUAUAACACUGGUUCACCAAAGAGGAUUAACACAGAGACCUGAAAGGGUUUCUGGACUCAUUACUCCUGCCUUUUCUAUUUCUCUUGUAUCUGCUUCUUGCUGAACAGAGAAUCAUAAAAACAUUGGUUGGAAAGGACACUGGAAAUUAUUUUGUCCAAGCUCCCUUCCAGAGGAUCAUCAUCACUGCUCUGGUUUUGUCUGAGCUGUGAAAAUCUGAACAAAUGGAGGUACAAAACAUGGCAAAGUGUAUAGAAAACCUGUUGGUCUCAAAGAAUGAGUCCUGGGAAUUGUGUGCUAUUGAGGGUUUCAUUUAGAUUACAAAAUCAAGUUGUGUGUUUCAAAGGAUUACAGGACCAGAUUUCAUAGACUUGUUUCCCUUUUU